AAAAAAGACAAAUCUGGGUUUUCGUGUCCAACGUUUGACUGUCUAUCUUAUAUAUUUUUUUAUAAUUAAUAUUUUUAUUGCUGUUAGAUGAUAAAACAUGAUUAAUACUUUAUGCAUGACUUAUCUUUUUAAUUUUUUUAUAAUUUUUUCAAAUAAGACGGACGGUCAAACGUUGGGCACGGAAAUCCAGGGUUUGUCUUUUU
rfam:Oryza sativa Japonica Group DNA, chromosome 10, cultivar: Nipponbare, complete sequence.